AAAGGUUGAGGGGUUUCUGUUAACACAGUCCAAGUUUGCUUUGCUGCCAUUUGUGGAUGCAUGUCAAUGUCAUCUUCUUCGAAACAAAGCAUCAGUUCGAUCUGAAUUGGAUCCUUCUGCUGUAAAUUUAGGAUUUCGGAUUUGGAAAGUGCUUAUCUGAUUUCAUAUUGGAUUUUAUUUUUAUUUUAAUUUUUCAGGCCUUUCGUUUAUACCUCGAUGAAAUCUUUCACCCUGUUGUUGCCGUUUUACUCUGUAACAUUUGUUCUAAUCUUCAGAGAGGUAUUUUGCCUGCUCGUAAGCUCAUUGAGAUGCAAUGGGAUGUUGGGAUUGCGAUUGACUUGUGACUUGCCAUUCACAAGCUAUAUGCUCAAGAUAUGGGCUUUCUGAUGGCUUGUUCGCAUUCUGAUGAUCAUCUGCUAUCCAAUCUCCUACCCAAUUGGAAAAGUUCUUGAUCUUGUACUUGGACAUGGAGAUGAUUUGUUCAGGCGAGCACAGUCGAAAGCCCUCGUCUCUGUUCACGACCCUGAGGUUGGAAAGGGAGUUGAACUAACACAUGAUAAGGCAAUGAUUAUCAAUGGAGUGCUAGAUUUAACUGAAAAGACUGUCGAGGAGGCUAUGACACCUAUUGAAUCAAGAAUAUGCUUGGAUGUUGAUUCAAAGUUAGACUGGGAAGCAAUUGGGAAAAUUCUUGCAUGUGUUACAAUGUGUUGCUGAGGACUGGUCAUAAGUGAGAUUUUGGCUUCGUCCUAUCAGACUGAAGGAUGCCUACAGUUCUUCUCUUUGUGUGACUUAUGAACGGGGAGAAGUUAAAAAUUAAAUGUGGUUUCCUUUAUCCGCCCAUAGCUAAAAGCCUGGCAUAUUUGUAAUCUUACAGCUUGUAGGAAAGGGUGCUUUAGCUGAAGGAGACAAGAUCACCUUAGAAACUGCAAAGCUGUUGAGAGAGAAUUCUCUUGCGCAGGAUGCAUUUACUCCAUAAGUUCCUAAUCUAAUCUUUUCUUUGAUCCAUAUCUACUUUUCAUUUUGAUUGGGACUGGUAGUCACUAAUGAUCAUUUACCUGUUGUAAGGGUGACAGAUAUGAUAUAUUCUGCCCUUUCUACAAGUCUUUUUGGAUGAUGCGGAAUAUCAUCCAUUUCUUUAAUUUAGCAAAUCAGAUGAACCAUUCUGUUCAAAUCCUUUCUUAUAUGACCUACCAUUAUGUUUGAAGAAUUCAUGUCUAUUUAGGUUGAAGCAUUUUAGGGCAAGGAAAACAGAUAAUAUUGUCUUUCCUGGUCUUAGAUGUUUAAUUAGAUAAGUGAAGGUAUCAAUGUCUACGAGCUGCAGAGAGAGCAGCUGAUAUGGAUGAUCAAAACAUCAAUUAUAGAAUAAUUGAGCACCGUAUGGGAGAUCUCUUUUACCGUCUAAUGUCUAAAAAUUUGAGGAACCUGCUGAAGGCGAACAAGCUCUUGUGGCAAAAUUUAAGAAGCUACACAAUUACCUGACAAUUUGAGGAUGUAACUCGAUGAUUGGACUUAGACAUUUUCUAGAUGGUUCUAGUUGCUGUUAUAAAUUGCAUGGUGAUGACAAUUGGAGUUACUGUGGUUUUUGUUGUGCAUGAAAGAAGGCAGCGUUAGGUUUUUGUGACGCCAUUUUUGCUUUACUUUUGUGGUGGUUGCUCUAGUUUGGAUGUGUAGUUACAAUGAUUGUAUUCAUGUCACUCCCUUCAGGUUUUUACCCAGAAUAAGAGACUAGAUGUAUUUAAGCAAUACGGCAUUCAAGAUUUUUUCAUUUU